rnacentral:rRNA from 1 species
AAUUUUUUUUGAGAGUUUGAUCCUAGCUCAGGAUAAACGCUGGCGGCGUGCCUUAGGCAUG